rnacentral:lncRNA from 1 species
UCCCCACCAAGUGCCAUCCUGUCCUUCGCCGGAGAGAGGGGACGGCAAAGAGCACAGCACACAGCACAGUAGCUAGCUAGCCUGACAUGGAGAUCGAUCUCCUGCUCCCUCAUCUCUCUCUGAGAAAAGCUAAAGAGGAGCAAGAUUACAAAAGGAAACCAGCAAGAAACAAAAGCCCAUCCACCUUCCUCCCUUUCCCAGACCAGACAGGCAGCAUGCAGCAAGCAUCAGCAUGUAGUACCAGUACUACUAGUCCAUGCAUGCACUCAUGUGUCAUGAGAGCCAUAGCAUCACUGCAUGCCACACUGGGCUGGGCUAGCUACUGUGCUGUGCAUGCAACAAUACAAGCAAUCAUUGAUUGGUUCCCUUUCCUCUCCUCCAUUCAAACAGACAUGCCUGCCUAGAUCAUUCAAUAUCCUAGUUCCAAACAUUCAUUCACAAGACCAGACAGGAAGGAAUUGAAGCAUGCAUGCUGCUUGUACAGUGUAUUACCACUAGAAUGCAUUGGAACAAACACCUUGUUUUGAUCUUAGGAUGCAUGACUUGUCAAGUUGUCAUGCAUGCAAACAUCUUUGUUUGAUCCCAAGACUUGUCUUGCAUGCAUGCAUGUCUUGCUGGCCCUGACAGGAUCAAAACUGGACUCGAUAUGCAUGAUACUAAAAUGGACUUGUUGCACACAUAUUAAUUGCUCUACUUCUAACUUGUGAAGCUUCCAAUGUAGGGCAAUAUAAAUUAGCAGGGAAAUUAAGCAAUCUGCAACAACUUUGUUGAGUUGUGAAUAUACUGAUUAUUAUUCUAGGGUGUCCUGAGUUUUGCAAUAUAAUGGCCUUGGAGCAACAUUUGAUUAAAGCUCAAGCUAGCAAACCCUAAUGGUAAAGGUAAUAUAUAUUCCUAAUUACACAUGACAUAUUGGCAUCACCAAAGAGAGUGUUAGCCACAUCUGGAUUAACUACUACGGGAGUACUACUACACUUAAUCGGCACACAAAAACUAAUAACUUGGAAAGCAAGCACGUAUAGUAGCAAUACCAUGGCUUACGAGCAUGAUAAUUUGAGAAUGCAAUCAGGUACAGAGACUAGGCUGCCGCUUGCACGUUCAUGUCGGAGACAGUGCGUCUCCUCUUGGGCCGGUCUCCGGCGCCGGCCGCCGCUCCGUGCCUCUCCACGAGCGCCCUCAGCGCUUCCUUGAGGAAGUCACCUCCGCCAUCGUCGUCCUCAGCGCCGGCGUCGCGGGCCAGGACGAGCACGUUGCGGACGCGGCCGCCGAGGGUGGCCAUCUCGGCGCGGAGGGUGCGCAGGCGGAGCGCGCGCAGCGUGUCGAUGAGGCCCGGGAGGAGGUCGGAGCGGUCGUCGCAGCAGACGGAGGCCUCGAACACGCCGCCCGACGAAGCCAGCACCACGAUCUCGUCGUGCUCCGUCGGGAACAGCUGCGGCGUCGCCGCGGCCGAUUCGGCGCCAAUGCCGGCCAUGCGCUGCUUCAGGUCGCGCACCCUCUCCACCGCCUUCGCCAGCAGCGACGCCUUGUCAAUCUGCAAGCACACACAAACGCACACGAGUUAAGUAAUUAAACUCCAUCGAUCAGUACAUACGUAUUAUUUUCCACAGUUAAUUAAUUAAUUAAGCUCUCAGAUCACGAACCCUAGAGGAGGAGCUUCUAAUUGUGAUUUAGGAAUUGAUAGAUCGCUAUUCCAUCAAUUAGCAACGGAUGGUAGCAAAUUAAUCCAUGCAAUCCUGUACUAGGAACUACUACAAGGAGACAUAGUACUAGGCACAAAAGAAGCAAAUCAUGAAAAGAGUAAUUGACAAGCCAAGCGACGACGACAACCCUAAGCCGGCCCCUAACGACCUAUACUCUAGCUGCCAUAGCCCAUAGGAGAGGCUCCCUUCUACUGUCCCAAAAACAGAACCAGCUUUAAUCACAAUAACUUAGCUGAGCAGAACGCACCAGCUACGUAUGGAGUAUAGCAAUAGAUCUAGCAUCUAGCAAUACUGCCAUCUAGAUCAUGCCGAUUCAAUUCUCGCUGCAGGAAACAGCAUCGCUUAAUCGAACCACAUACAGAAAUUCAGGGGGAAUUAUGCAGGAGGAGGGAGCAAUUAAGCUAGGCUAAUCGAUCUAGUUAGCUAGCCAAUCGAGCGAGAGGAGACGUGAAUCGCAUGCCUUGGGGUCGCAGGCGAGGACGGCGCGGAGGCGGUCGAGGUGCGACUUGAUCCGCUCGCGGCGGCGCUUCUCCGCCUCUCGGUGGUUCCUCGUCGCCGCCACCGCGCGCUCGUGCAGCGCCGCCUCAGCCAUGGCCACCGCCGCCUCGUCCUCCUCCUCUGAGCCCGCCGCGCCCGCGCCUCCUCCGCCCGCCGCCGCCGCCGGCCACAUGGAUCCCAUGAAGAAGGGCGGCAGCCCCGCCGCCGCCUCUCCCUGCCUCGGCGCCGCCACACCCGCCUCGACGACGAACGUCGCCGCCUCCGCCGCCGGAAACAUAUAUAUCCGCCGGAGCACGUGCUAGCUUCUCGAUGGAUCGAUCGAUCGCCGGCUAGCUAGCCUUCACGAGGCCUCAACGGGAGCGCGCUAUAGGCUAUAGCUGCUGCUUAAUGGCGAGUGGCGGUUGGUUAAUUGCCGCGAUGGUGUUGUAGCGUGAGCCUUUGCCGAUAGCGGAGAGGCCGAUACUACUACUAUUCAUAGGAUUUGGAAGAAGGGGAGAGAGACGGCCGGAUGGGAUGGGGCGAUGGGGGUGGGGAGGGGAGAAUAAAUAAACGAACUGGACUUCGGGUGAGAGAGAUGGCCAGAGAAAAGAAAGAGGAAUGUUUGAGCGUGACCGGGUGAGUCAUUAGCGAGUGGCUUGUGGGCCUUGCCACUGGGCUGGGCCCAAGUGUUGACUCGUCAGACAGAGAGAGAUAAAAGAGGAGGCUCCCUGGGAGCUAGGUGUUGGGCUAGAGCCGUCGAGAUGGGGCGAUUGGACGGCUGCGAUGGUGCCGACCUUGCGCCCACGUCGCGCUCCGAGGAGAUACGGGUUUCUGUACUGGCCGUGAUGGGAUCGUUUGACUUUAAUCCGUUCGUGAAAAAGAAACACGCUCCGUAGAUUCAAGGGAAUGUUUGUUUGUCGGUCUAUUUUUCAUAUUUGUUAGAGCUGCAACUUUGUGACUCUCAGUAUAUCUUUGACCCUACUUAAUUCAACCAAAUGAAUUAAAGUUUCAAAAUGACAUAAUUUUUUGAAAAGCUAGUUCAUUCGUUUGAAGUAAGCAGGGUCAAAGGAUACCUUGAGGGUCACCAUGUUGCACCCUUACUCUCUGUUAGGAUUGGAUAGACCAACCACACUUCUCUGCAAUCUGGAUUAAUCCCCAAGAUUUUUUUAAGAAAACUUACUAUACUCCAGAUUCAUCCUCAGUGAAGAGAGACGAGUUACACAUUGUGGGUAUUACCGAUUAAAUUAGUUUAUGCCAAUGCAUGUACUUUCUCCGUCCAACAAUAAGGCGUAUUAGCUUUUCUUUGACCAAUGCUUUGACCACAAAUUACUGUAUUAAUAUAUAAUUAUAUGAUAUAAAUUUAUAUCCAUUAUAUUCCUAUUCAAGGAUAUUUGCUUAGAGAUAUGAUUUUGAUCACAUUAUUCACAUAUUCAUGAAAUAAUUUGUGUUCAAAGUUUUGGUUAACCCAAACCUAAUAUGUUGGACCGAGCGAGUACGAGUACCAGCAUACUAGCUAAUGAGUUGCAUCAUCGCCUGGGCUGAGAGUAAUGAUUGUACAAGACACGAGUGCGCGCUAGCUCUCUACACCGCUUGGUAACCCGUGCAGAUCAUGCUAUUAUGCUGCUCAAUGAGCUUUGCCCCCUGCGCCCUCUCUCGUCCUUUGCGGCUAACUUCUUCCACCAAAAGAUCCCGGCCCGCCCUGCUGCUGCAAAUACACCGUCUUAUUUCCACGAUGUCAUCAUAUAACCAACCCAAUGGCAAUGAGGCAAUGGCCAGGCCUCAGCUUUGGGCUGCCGCCCGGGCCCUUAAUUUUGUCAGGACGUACGAGGGCAAGUAUAUAUAUGAAGCAUUGAGAUACGCUAUGAAUGAAGAUAUAUAUCCCCACUCUGACAGCCUCAAGUAGAAACCACGAUGUUAUCCGGAUUAUAUAUACAUACCUGAGCCCUGAGCCCUAUAGCAAAACUCGACAUGAUGCUUAAUUCUUGGUGCUUACUGUAGUGAGGACACCAUUGCUACGGAUCUUGACGGCGGAAGUAGCACCUCAGCAAAAUUUCCACGGAAGGGGAUGCCAAAAUGGAACUAAGGGAUUUGUGUACAAAUUAUCCAUAUAAGCGAGGAAAAUGGAAUUAUCUGAAAGGGAAGCACAGUUGAAAGUGUCUUAUUUUCCUAUAGAGUAGUAUUCGACUAGUACACAUACUAACACUAAACCUUUUCAUUUUAGUACCUGAUCUCUGCUUGUGUACCUUUCUGCAAGCAACUUCGAUCAAUCCCUGCAGUGACUGCAUCUUGUAGACUGUACUUCUUAAAACACACCUUCAAUUUUGCUGUAGUGGCUUGCAGCUUCGAAUUUUCUAUGUUGCUGACGAGAUGUACUAACUGCAACAGCUGCAACUAUUCAUUGGGGGAAAACAUAGUACUUGUAUCUAAAAAAACACAUACUCCCACCGUUCCAAAAAAAUUGGCGUGGGUUUGAACUAGAGCUACUUUAAAACCGUGCCAAUCUUUAUGGAACGGAGAGAGUACUUGUGUCGUAACAUAUCUUCUACCGAAUAACCUGUAUCUCAGAAACUAAUUAUACUUGGUUCUUUCUAUAAGAUGUUCUAGCUUUGUUUUAUAGGAAAAUCUUCCAACAACUACAACUCUAGCUUAAUUUUAUAUUAAAUCAGUCAUCCUAUAGUAAUACUUAUUUGAUAUUGUAAAUAUUGGUACAGUAUAUUUUUCUGUAAACUUGGCCAAACUUUAACAAGGAAGGAGUAGUAUAAUGCAUGCUAUUUAAUUACUAUGAAAUGAAAUCCUUUGAAUUUUUUCCGAAUUGAUAACUGGCAAUCGUAGGGAAACUCACCCCCCUCACAGAAACAUAAGAAAAACAGAGUACUUGAACCAACAAUUGUGAUUCCUCAAAACUGAAUUGUUUCUCGGAUGAUCACCUACAGCAAGAUCACCGUUCAUUACAGAGUAUGAAUCCUUCCAAUAUUAAGCAUCCUUGAGCACUCAUGAUCUCGUAGCAGUUACAAACAUUUAAUCCCCACUCUGCUGUUUUGCAUCAUAGAGUUGUGUCUGGCAGUAUCUUGACAUCCAGGUGCAUAUAGCAACCAUCAACCUACAGAUCAAGCUCUACCCUUCGCUACCGGGGACAUGGAUUGGUAAUAUUGUCCUACGGCCAUUCCUACCUGUUUCUGUGCCAGAGGAUGUUGCGGCCAACCCCGGGCUCGUGCAGUUCAUCACCGAGGAAGAUGCCCCUUGCUGGAACAAAUGGCGAUGGACUGAUAUAUACCUGCAGAUUGCGAUGUUAGUACGGCUGGCUGAUCUAUACAAAAGCUAAACUCAUUUAAGAGACAUGCAAUGCUUGAUGAAUGAAUUGAGUGAGGCAAGAUAGAUACAUAUGGGUUUCUUAAAAUUCAACACUUGAUACAUGCAUAACUUCUCACAGUGUUGCAUAACUUUUGCAAUGCUAGAUGAAAGAAGUGUCUUAGAGCUAGUAUUACUUUGUACUAACUUAGUACAAAAUCUGAGACACUUAUUAUGGAUCGGAGGGAGUAGUAAUUAGUAAAAGCUACCUUAUGCAGGCACACUUAUAUGUAUUUACACAUCUAAGAGCAAGAAAGAAAAAAGGAAGAAGCCAGUCCUCAAUAGAUCCAUAUAUAGAUCUAAUAUGGCAUUUCUAUUUCAAGUAUAGAGUUAUAAGAAAGAUCAAAUAUACAUAUAUCAAUUUAAAAGGAAGUAGCUCACAUAUGGCAGGAGGCACAUACUCAAGUAGGAUCAAUCCAUAAAACAAGCUUUUUAUGAGCAAUGAAAGCAACAAAUUAUCUGCUUCCAGCGACUUCAUCAACUAUCUAUAUUACAAUAUUGAAAAAAAAAACUAGAAAAAUAAUAUUGAUUUAAUGGUCUCCUGUGGAAUGAUGAUGGAAAUUCAAAGGCCAAACAGAAAACAGUUCCUUCCAAAUCACAAGUGAGACUGUUAGUUUGCAUAUCAGGAGUACAUUACUGUCUGUUGGGCGGGCAGUGGCAGUGUCACUUCAAGACUUUGGGGUCACCUGAUCCCACAAAUUCUUUGAGAAACUAUCCAUACAAGUGAAAUACUCCAUAUAAAAACAUAGAAAACAACGCAAAUUCAGGGAAAUCAUGUAUUUCAUCCCACAGUGAUACAGCCCUAGCACCGCCACGGUUCUGGGAAAAGGGAUAAUGAUAUACAAUACCUUCUUGAGAAUCACCUUCCUCCCAAAGUGGAGCGGCAUCCUCAACACUGCUAUCAGAGGUCUUUGAGUUCCCAGCAUCAUCUUUGCUAGUUGUGCCCUUCACUGAUUCUUCAUUUGGUGCACUCCUGGGAACAUCACCAAAUGAUCAUUCACCUCUUGAGCUUUGUAUGUCAAGGAAUAUUAUAUUCAUAUUUAUCGAACCUGCUAGCACACUCAGGAGCAAUUUUUCUGUAACUUAGAAACAUAAGUGACAGCAAAGGUGUAAAUUAUCGGUGUGUCAUUAUUAAAAUUUACUGUAAUCUGUGUUAGAACACAGCUGCAUAAUUAUUCCAUCAACCCUUUUGAUCAAAUAAGGUGCUAACUAUGCUCUGUUGACAAUCUUUUAUAAAAACCAGCCGGUGUUUCCACAGAAUAUGAAGUACAAUCUGAAGUACCAUACAAAUAAACUGCACAGCAAUGAGACAUUUGCAACUAGCCAGUACGGAGAUCUAGCAUUUCUCAAAUAGGAUAAACCUACGAUCCCAUUAAUUGCACUUUGAUCCGAUGCUUGACGCGACGCGCAUCAUCAAAAAAGAUGGCAGGUGCUAACUCCCUAAUAUUGCUAUGGAAUAACACAAUGGCCAAUUGGACUCGCCUCAAACGCCAAAGUCGUGCUUGCCUCUGAACACAACAAGCCUAUACACACCGCUCGGCGACCACCUCACAUUAGAAGUCAUCUAGUAGAGCCAUUCAGGACUAGAAUCCUAACCUGGUCUCGAGGUCGAUGGUGUGGCUGAUGCCAGCGCUGACAAAUUCCCCCUCCUUGGAAGCAUUGGACCCCUUAUCGAACAGCUGGUGCACCUGCUCUGCUACUUUCUGUUCCUCCCCUGCUCUGUCCUCACCAAGGUUCGAUGACGGCGGGCCAUGGUGCAGACCUCGGGGCACAGGAGUGUAGAAGCUGACAACUGGAAGCAAAUUACUGAGGCCAUCGUUGAUUGUGAACUGGCCAGUAACCUUCCUCACCACUUCGGACUGCAGGUCGAUUGUGAAGACGCCAGCAUCCGUGAGCACGAAAAUGACAUUUGCUCCCUCGGCAAAUCCCAACACAACCACUGGUUCUUGUAGAGCACCGUUUGGUAGCAACUUGUCCAAGCAGAUGACCCGGCUCAGUACCCAUCCUUUAUGUCUGCCAUCACUUGCCUCCUCCGACGAAUCUGUAUCACUGCCAUCAAUCGCCUCCUCAGACGAAUCUGUAUCACUGCCAUCACUUGCCUCUUCCGGCGAAUAUGUAUCACUGCCAUCAAUCGCCUCCUGCCAUGACCACACUUUGAGUUCUUUCUUUUCGGAUUCACUGAUAACUCCCAGUCCACCGUCCACCGUCAGCAUGAGGUUACGUUCCAACUCAAAUUCUGGUAGGUCGAUCGAAGCCAGGGAGUGCCUAGCCACGUCAUACUCCAGGAUAUUCCCUUCUGACAUGCCCUGCAUGAAGUAGAGCAGAGAUCUCCCAACGAGCACGCUGGAAGUGUAUGAUGAAUACCAGCCCAACAAGCCGUGCAACACGAUCGGUUCGCCCCACGUGCCAGUCUCCGACGAAUAUGCCAUCGCCGUCGUGCUACUCGUCAGGAGACCCCGCUUGUCCAUGAGGCCGAAGACGAAGGCCACGCGGAAAGGACCCCCGAGGCAGUCGCGGUGGUCGCACCCGUCCGCUGCACAGAACACGGCCGCGUUGGAGGAACCUCUCCUGUACGCUUCAGGCACGGGUACAGGUACGCGCUGCUGGGUGCGCGUGAUUGGUUCCCAAAUGAGGAGCCGUACAACUACAGGGACCUGGCCCUCGGAGAGGAAGAGGGCGCGGCCGUGGCGGGAAUCCAGGGCCCGCCAGGAGCGGUAGUCCGGGGCGCCGACGAGGGAGAAGGGCGACGCGGUUGUGUGGAUGAAGCGGGGGAUGUUGUCCCAGUUGUUGCCGUGGAGGACGCCAAGCAUGGGGGGUGUCCGGGUCCGGUGGAGAGCGAGGAGGCGCUCGCGGAAUCUGCGGGAGGAGACGACUUUGCUCCAUCUCUUGCUGGUGAGGGAGGCGCGGAAGAGGCACGCUGGUUCGUCGGGCGAGAUACGGAGGAAGAUCUCCUCUAUGAGCUCUUUGGGGAGGGUCGGCAGCGAGCGGCCGCGGCGGCGUUCCAUGGCGCUCGCUUCGCUGGGCGCGGAGUUGGGGUUUUUGGGUUUGGGGCGGUGGCCGGUGGAAUGGAGUAAAUUGACAGAUUGUACUGUAGGUCCGUAGUUGACAGCUCAUGGGUGUGUUUGGUUUGCUUUUAAAACACAUCAAGCCAAUUUUUUGGUCAUUGAUUAAAAUUUGGUGUUUGUUUGAAUGGUGACCAAAUAUUUGGCUAGUAAAUAUUUCGUAGCCAACUUUAGUUCAAUUUUUUGAUCAAAGUUGGCCAACUCAUAGACUAGCAAAACCAUCACCAAUUAUUUGGCUAGCCAAAAUUUUGGUAGGCCUACUUUGGGUUCAAACCAAACAGUUCCUAUAUUUUAACUUGGCCCUCCCUCGAUUAAAAGUUGGUUGUUUGCUUCGAUAGAUAAUACAUCUUGAGGGGUGUUUUUACAAAUGAGUCUACCAAACUACGAAAUCUUGAGGAAUCAUCGAACCUUCGAGAUUCAAAGAGAAAUGGUGCUAAAAAAGUAAAAUGCAUCAGAGGUCCCAAUUCUUUCGCCAAGUUAGUCCUAAUUUUUUAAAACUGUAUAUUUGAGUUCCAAUUGUUUCGUAAGUGGUUCAGCACAGGUCCUAAGGUCCUAAGAUGGCUCAGGCAGAUGCCUGGUGUCUACGUGGCUAUUUGGGCCGUGUCUACGUGGCUAUUUGGGCCCACAUGUCACGUGCUAAGGUGGACUGUUUUUUUUUCAAAAAAGACCCUGCCUCUUUCCUUCCUCUUCCCCGUGCCCCCUCUCCUCUUGUUCCUCUCUCCCCGAAGCUCUGUCCCCCUAUGUUCUUCUCCUCCCCGAACAACCCUGCCUCCCUCGAGCUCACCCUCGACGACGGCUAGAAAUUGAUGGGAUUCUCGGGGAUUCGCACCGGAUUGGAGAUGGGAUUCUCCCCGAAAUUCCACCGACGACGGCCAAAAAUUGCCAAUGAAUACACCGGAUUAGAGAACCAAUCAAAGGCUGGAGUCUUAUUCGCGCCUCUCCAGUCCUCGCUGUGCCCUCCUUCGCCGCCGGCGAGCCUGCGCUGCUGUCCCCGCGCUGUGGCCUCUCUGUCUGGCUGCCGUCGCCAUUAGUGAGGACGUCGUCGCCUCCCCGAUCUCUGUCCCCAUCUCCCUCUCCUUUUCUCCGUACGGAGGGAGAUGAGGGCGCCGCCACCGGGCGCUAGCCACCAGGAGCAGGGAUGGUGAGCGGCGGAUCUCGCCGUGCUCGGAGAAGUAGGCGUCACAGAGAGGCUUCCGGUGAUCGAGGUAGCGCUCCAGGGGGCUCGAGACAUGCGCUCCAUCGCGAGGAGCCGGAUGGCGUCGAGGCCGUCGCGGAUCCGCCGCUGCAGAAGGCCGGCGACUGCGAGCUGGAGGCGGCCGGCGGGGUGUUCGACGCGGGGGAGAUGCGGGGCGUGGGAGACUCGGGCAAGCGCACCGGAGGACGUGCGGCGGCGCUGCGGUGCUCUCGAUGAAGGCGGAAGGGCGAUGGAGGCCAUGGUUGCGCGGAUCGAAGCGGGCUGCGCUUCCGUCGGACUUCGGGAAGACGAGCGGCGUGAGGCUUCUCGGGGCGCAUGCGGCUGCCAAAAACUGCAGAGGAGGACGCAGUGUGGUGCGUUGGAUCUGCUUGGUGCGGCGUAGGGCGCGAGGGUGGGCCAGAGCGGUGAGGGGAGCUCGCGCGCCGGAGUUCGUGGCCUGGGGAGGAGAAGAACAUAGGGGGAGAGAGCUUUGGGGAGAGAGGAAGAAGAGGAGAGGGGGCACGGGGAAGAUGAAGGAAAGAGGCAGCGUCUUUUUGGCAAAAACUUUCCAUCUUGGCAUCUGACAUGUGGGUCCAAAUAGCCACGUAAGCAUCAGACACGCGCCCGAGCCACCUUAGGACCCGCGCCGAACCACUUACGAAACAAUUAGGACUCAAACGUGCAGUUUCAAAAAAUUGGGACUAACUUGGAACUUUUACGAAAGAAUUGGGAUUUCUGAUGCAUUUUACUCGUGCUAAAAUAAUUCUGAUGAAAAACGAGAUGGUGACUCUAUUUUUUUUAAUUAUUAUUAUUGUUGUUGUUGUUGUUGUUGUUAUUAUUAUUAUUAUUGUUACUACUACUACGUCUCGACUCCAUCUCACAAACCUGACCUAGGGUUAAAAGCACUUGCUCAAGAGAAGAGGGAGGAUGAUAAAUUUGAGAGAACCAUCUACCUGCUGCUUUGAAACAAAAUUCCUUUGGGAGUUGAAAGAAUGCCACGAACUGUGACGUGAGGCGUAGCGAGAAGAUCAACAGGAGGUUUCAGGCGGCUAGGGUUUUCAUGCCCUUUGCUGGCGGCGCCCCGCCACCGAUGGCUUUCCUGGCCAUGGAGGUGUGGCGGAUUCCGACCGGUCGCCGACAGAAGGAUUUCUCGUUUCUUGUUUUACUUUUUUUUUCAGUGUCUUCUUCGACAUGGCGAAGUGGCGCGAAGGUCCUCCCCUCACUCCGGUGGUGUGCUAGGCGGUGGUGGAGGGUGUGUGGAGUUGUGUGUCUCGCAAAUCCUUUGGGACCGAGUCAAUUUUCUAGGUUUCCGACGAAUUCCUUUGGUUCCGGUCAAUUUUCGUGUUCGUUUGUUUGGUUCAGUUCCGGCUCUUCCGGUCUAUGGUUCUCAUCUUUGACGAUGAUUACUGCUCUGGUGUGCUGGUUUUCUAAGACCCUAGCAUGACGACUUCCUCACCGUCCACUACAACAAACUUUGCUUGUGUUAGUGCCCCCGUUCUUUUCGGUUUCUAGGAUGGGCUUCUCCGAGAAGCUGCUCUUUCCCAGCUUCCGGAAGAAGCCGCAUGUGAAAUUUUGUUAGGUUUCCAAAUUAGGUUAGCCCAACCUAAUCUGGAAACCUAGCAAAAAAAUUAUGGCGGCUUCUCCAGGAAGCUGGGUGAGAGCAGCUUCUCCGAAAAGCCCAUCCUGAAAGCCGAAAAAAAAGGGACUGGUAUCUCUUUCUGCAAGCAACUUCAACUGCGUAAAACACACCUUCAAUUUUGUUGCAGUGUCUUGCAGCUUCAAAUUUUCUAUGUUGCGACGAGAUGUACUAACUGGAAUGGCUGCAACUAUUCAUGGGGGAAACAUAUACUUGUUUAUCUAAAAAUACAUAGUCUCCCUCCGUCCCAUAUUAUUUCUAAAUAUUAAAUAUGUGUAAUAUUUCGACACUUAAUAUGGGCCGGAGGGAGUACUUGUUUCGAAACAUAUCUUCUACCAAAUAACCUGUAUCCCAGAAAGACAGAAACUAACUACUUGGUUCUUUCUAUAAGAUGUUCUACCUUUGUUUAUAUGAAAAUCUUCCAACAACUACAACUCUAGAUUAAUUUUAUAUUAAAUCAGUCAUCUUAUAGUAAUACUUAUUUGGUACUAUUGUAAAUAUUGAAAUAUUUUUCUUUAAACUUGGCCAAACUUUAACAAGCAUGGAGUAGUAUAAUGCAUGCUACUCCGUAUUUAAUUAUAUGAAAUGAAAUCCUUUGAAUUUUUUUCCGAAGUGAUAAAUGGCAAUCGUAGGGAAACCCACUCCCUUCGCACAGAAACAUAGGAAAAACAGAGUAAUUGAACCAACAAUUGCGAUUAAUCAAAACUAAGUUGUUUCUCGGAUGAUCACCUGCAGCAAGGUCACUGACGAGGGGCUACUUCGGCAUACCCAAACUAAGAGCUUUCGACUAGGGAGAGCACGGGUGUGUGUUAGCGAUUCUGUCGGCUAACAAAGAUCGCAAGGUUUACCCAGAUUCAAGACCCUCGGAAAGUAAUGCCCCUACAUCCUACUUGUCUGAUCUGUAUUGAUGGAGAGAUUAUAAGGUUGCCAUGGAGACGUGUAUUAGAGAUGAGAUCUGUGGAUCCGUCUAACAGAGAAUAGGAUCUCCUCCCCGGCUCCCCUUUCCGGUCCUUUAUAUAGGAGGUAUAAAGGAGGCUAGGUCACGGACGUAGAGUCCGGGUUGAUUACAAUUAGAGAUAAAUCCUGAUUUGGUUUCUUUAAUUAUCUGUUUUUAUCUUGAGCCGCAAGCCAAGGUACUCAGGCUUCACAGAUUGUAGUGGGCCUCCAAGUGGACCCCAUGUUGAGCCGUAGCAAGUAUACCAAAGGUGAGGACCCGAAGGGUCAUUCCCUCGUCAGUCACCACGGAGUAUGGAAUGGAUCCUUCCAAUAUUAAGCAUCCUUGAGCACUCAUGAUCUCGUAGCAGUUACAAACAUUUAAUCCCCACUCUGCUGUUUUGCAUCAUAGAGUUGUGUCUGGCAGUAUCUUUACAUCCAGGUGCAUACAGCAACCAUCAACCUACAGAUCAAGCUCUACCCUUCGCUACCGGAGACAUGGAUUGGUAAUAUUGUCCUACUGCCAUUCCUACCAGUUUCUGUACCAGAGGAUGUCGUGGCCAACCCCGGGCUCGUGCAGUUCAUCACCGAGGAAGAUGCCUCUUGCUGGAACAAAUGACGACAGACUGAUCUAUACCUGCAGAUUGAGAUGUUAGUACGGCUGGCUGAUCUAUACAAAAGGCUAAACUCAUUUAAGAGGCGUGCAAUGCUAGAUGAAUGACUUGACCGAGGCAAGAUAGAUACAAAUGGGUUGCUUAAAAUGCAACACUUGAUACAUGCAUAACUUCUCACCGUGUUGCAUAACUUUUGUAACACGUGGUUGUUGAAACGAAGGAGCUUUUAUGUACUAAAAGCUACCUGAUGCAAGUACAGUAUUAUGUUUUACAUCUAAGAGCAAGAAAGAAAAAAGGAUGAAGCCAGUCCUCAAUAGAUCCAUAUAUACAUCUAAUAUGGCAUUGCUAUUUCAAGUAUAGAGUUAUUAGAAAGAUCAAAUAUACAUAUAUAAAUUUAGAAGGGAAAUAGCUCACAUAUGGCAGCAGGCACACACUCAAGUAGGAUCAAUCCAUAGAACAAGCUUUUUAUGAGCAAUGAAAGCAAAAAAUUAUCUGCUUCCAGCGACUUCAUCAACUAUCUAUAUUACAAUAUUGAAAAAAACACUAGAAAAAUUAAUAUUGAUUUAAUGGUCUCCUGUGGAAUGAUGAUGGAAAUUCAAAGACAGAAAACAAUUCCUUCCAAAUCACAAGUGAGACUGUUAGUUUGCAUAUGCAGGAGUACAUGACUGUGUUGGCCGGGCAGUGGCAGUGCCACUUCAAAACUUUGGGGUCACCUGAUCCCACAACAUCUUUGAGAAACUAUUCAUACAAGUGAAAUACUCCAUAUGAAAACAUAGAAAACAACGCAAAUUCAGGGAAAUCAUGUAUUUCAUCCCACAGUGAUACAGCCCUAGCACCGCCACGGUUCUGGUUAAAGGGAUAAUGAUAUACAAUACCUUCUUGAGAAUCACCUUCCUCCCAAAGUGGAGCAGCAUCCUCAACAUUGCUAUCAGAGGUCUUUGAGUUCCCAGCAUAAUCUUUGCUAGUUGUGCCCUUCACUGAUUCUUCAUUUGGUGCACUCCUGGGAACAUCACCCAAAGGAUCAAUCACCUCUUGAGCUUUGUAUGGGAAGGCACACUAUAUUCAUAUUUAUCGAACGUGCUAGCACGCUCAGGAGCAACUUUUCCGUAACUUUGAACCCUAAGUGACAGCAAAGGUGUAAAUUAUCGGUAUGUCAUUAUUAAAAUUUACUGUAAUCUGCGAUAGAACACAGCUGCAUAAUUAUUCCAUCAACCCUUUUGAUCACAUAAGGUGCUAACUAUGUGCUCUAUUGACUGUCUUUUAUAACAAGCAGCUGGUGAUUCCACAGAAUAUGAAGUACAAUCUGAAGUACCAUAAAAAUAAACUGCACCGCAAUGAUACAUUUGCAACUAGCCAGUACAGUACGUAGAUAUAACAUUUCUCAAAUAGGAUAAAUCUAUCAUCCCAUUAAUUGCACUUUUAUUUGAUGCUCGACGCGACACACGCAUCAUCGAAAAGGAUGGCAGGUACUAACUCCCAAAUAUUGCUAUGGAAUAACACAAUGGCCAAUUGGACUCUCCCUCAAACACCAAAGUCGUGCUUGCCGCCGAACACAACAAGCCUAUACGCAACGCUCGGCGACCACCUCACAUUAGAAGUCAUCUAGCAGAGCGAUUCGGGACUAGAAUCCUAACCUGGUCUCGAGGUCGACGGUGUGGCUGAUGCCAGCGCUGUCAAAGUCCCCCUCCUUUAAAGCAUUGGACCCCCUUAUCGAACAGCUGGUGCACCUGCUCUGCUACUUUCUGUUCCUCCCCUGCUCUGUCCUCACCAAGGUUCGAUGACGGCAGGCCAUGGUGCUCACGUCGGGGCACAGGAGUGUAGAAGCUGACAACUGGAAGCAAAUUACAGAGGCCAUCGUUGAUUGUGAACUGGCCAGUAACCUUCCUCACCACUUCGGACUGUAGGUCGAUUGUGAAGAGGCCAGCAUCCGUGAGCACGAAAAUGACAUCUGCUCCCUCAGCAAAUCCCAACACAACCACUGGUUCUUGUAGAGCACCGUUUGGUAGCAACUUGUCCAAGCAGAUGACCCGGUUCACUACCCAUCCUGUACCAGCGCCAUCACUUGCCUCCUCCGAUUAGGCCUGUUAAUGGUGAGGACUCGUAUGGUUUUUUCGGUGUGGAACUUGACGUGGGCUCGACUGGAUUGGGCUCAAACGGGUGGAGAGGAAAAUCGGGAUGGACUGGUUUGGUUUUUCUAAAAACGCGACCUGGUGUGGUCUGGUUUGGUCUGAGAACACGAGAUGCUAUGUUUGCGUGCUGCUUGUACUCAUGCCGCACUACUGUUAGCGUACGUACGUGGGUGCUUUUGUUGCUGUGGGUCGAAUAUUUGGGUUCAAACCGUGGUUUCUGAAUUGGUUUCGGUUCAGGAUGGAUGGAAACUCCGCAUGGUGCGGUGUGGUUUGGGUUUUCUGAUUAGAUUUGUGGUCCGGUCGGGGUUGGUUAACACACGUGAUGUUGCAUGGAACAGCUUGGGUUCGAUGCGGUUUUAACCCAUUUACCAGGCCUACCUCCGAUGACUCUGUAUCACUGCCAUCAAUCGCCUCCUGCCAUGACCACACUUUGAGUUCUGACUUGUAGGAUUCACAGAUAACUCCCAGUCCACCGUCCACCGUCAGCAUGAGGUUAUAUUCCAACUCAGGAUCUGGUAGGUCGAGCGAAGCCAGGGCGUGCCUAGCCACGUCGUACUCCAGGAUAGUCCCUUGGUCCGACGAGAAGUAGAGCAGAGAUCUCCCAACGAGCACGCUGGAAAUGUGUGAUGAAUAGUAGCCGUACUCGUCGUGCAUCACGGUCCGUUGGCCCCAGGUGCCGGUCUCCGACGAAUAUACCCUCGCCGACGUGCUGGCCGUCGAGAGAUCCCACUUGCGCAGCACGAGGCCGAAGACGAAGGCCACGCGGAAAGGACCCCCGAGGCAGUCGUGGUGGUCGCACCCGUCCGCUGCACAGAACACGGCCGCGUUGGAGUGCCCGCUCCUGUACGCUGCAGGCACGGGUACAGGUACGCGCUGCUGGGUGCCCGUGAUUGGCUCCCAAACGAGGAGCUGUGGAGGGACCUGGCCCUCAUCGGAGAGGAAGAGGGCGCGGCCGUGGCGGCAAUCCAGGGCCCGCCAGGAUCGGUAGUCCGGGGCGGCGAGGGAGAAGGGCGACGCGGUUGUGUGGAUGAAGCGGGGGACGUUGUUGUCCCAGUCGUUGCCGUGGAGGACGCCAAGCACGGGGGGUGUCCGGGUCCGGUGGAGAGCGAGGAGGCGGUCGCGGAAUCCGCGGGAGGAGACGACUUCGCUCCAUUUCUUGCUGGCGAGGGAGGCGCGGAGGAGGCACGCUGGUUCGUCGGGCGGGAGACGGAGGAAGAUGUCCUCGAUGACGUCUUCAGGGAGGGUUGGUAGCUUGCCGCGGCUGGGUUCCAUGGCGGUGGCGCUCGUUUCGCUGGGGGCGGAAUUGGGGGUUUGGGUUUGGGGCGGUGGUCGGUGGCCGGUGGCGAAGACGGUGGAAUGGAGGAAAUUGAAAUCUGGACCGUAGUUUUUUUAGCGCACCUUAAAGGCAGGGUGUUCCUCCGUUUCAUUACAUAAUAAAUAAAAUCGUUCAGUUAAUUAGAAAAAAUCGGACAAAAAUCAGAUAUAAAGGUAACGAAGCUCCUAACGAUCAACGGAAGGACCAAACCGAAAGACAAACGCACCACCUACACGCCAACCCACCAACGGAGCAACUGAAGAAGAACCCCGCCACAGAAAACACAACGGUUCUCCAUUGAGCAAGCCAGAUCCGGCGUGACCCACCAGGGAGGGGCGGUAGGACCUCGACAGGCUCCAAGGAGCAUGGAAGAAGCAUCGACAGAGCACCGCACCACCACACCGCACGCACCGCCGCCCGCCGAAUGGGUGAGAAACCGAAACCGCUAUGGGAAGAGCAGAUUUGGGCCGCCCCGACACAGGAGGAGGUGAGGCGCGCCUCAAGAGCCCGGCGUUUCCAACGCUUUAGACAAACCGACGACCGUCUUCACCCCCUUCCGAGGCCGCCGCCAUCGCUUGCCAAAGCAAAAUCCGCGCCCAGCACGCCAUAUCCACUGCCCGGAAAACCAUGGCCCCUUCCCGGAAUCGCCGUCCUGGCAUCCACCGUGACAGCCACGCCGGCCAGAGGCCCGCAUGCCGACGCCUCGCCUCGCACGGGGCAGGCAGACGCCCCGACUGCACCAGAUCAGCAGCCAGAGACACCUCCCCGGAAACCCCCGGCGUCCGCCAUCAAGGCCGACCAGGCUGGCCGCCGGCAACGAAGCCUCACCACCGCCGGCCAGCAGCAGAAGCGGCGCGACCACUGCGCCGGUCAUCGCUGAAUCCCCGCGGCCCCAACUCCGGCCACCACCGGAUCCCCGCUCCUGCCGCCGCGCCUGGCAAGCACGCACGCCAGCGCCAGAUCCCGCCGUCGCCUCCGCCUUCCGGAGCCCACGUCGCCGAGGACGCCGCCAUCAAGCCGCCCGGGGCCUCCGUCCCGACCUCCGCGCUCCCGUCCGCCCGAGGGCGCCUCCGCCGCAAAGAAACCCCCACUGCCCUUCGAGGAGUGGGGCCCGCCGCCACCGCGACAGAGGAGGCCGGCGGCAGCGGCGGCGAGAUGGAGGUGAGGAGGGGCCCGAGCGGCGGCGGCUAGGGUUUCGCCCCGCUGCCGCCCGCGGGAGCGACACGGGACGAGGGUAUGUUGAAGAUAUGUGUGAUCAUCUGGAUCGUAGUUGAUGAGUUAUAUCUUAACUUGGCCCCCCUUGAUUAAGUUGGCUGUUUGCUUUGAUAGAUAAUAAUACAUCUUGAAGGGUGUUUUUACAAAUGAGUCUAUCAAAUACUCCCUUCGUUCCUAAAUACUUGCACUAAAACAGCGACAAGUAUUUAGGAAUGGAGGGAGUAACGAAAUGAAGAGGAAUCAUCCAAACGAAACAAAAUUGUAAGCGAAACGGACCACCUUCCUUUUUUUGGUCCAAAGAAAAAACCUCUUUUCCAGUGCAAAAUCAAUAGAAACACAGAGGAAUUUCUGAGGAAAUACGAGAUGGUGACUUUAUCUAUUAUUACGUCUUGACUACAUCUUACUCCGCAAUUUCCAGAAAGUUAUGUGACGUGAGGCAGAGCGAGGUGAUCUCCGGGAGGUUCUAGGCGGCUAGGGUUUUCACACCUUAUGUUGGCGGCGCCUUGGCUCCGAUGGCUUUCUUGGCCAUGGAGGUGUCUUGUCUUAGGGUUUUUUUAGUGUCUUUUUCGAGAUGGCGAGGCGGCGGCGAAGGUCCUUCCCCUGUCCUCGCUCCACCGGUGCGCCUAGUGUUGGCGGAGGGCGCGUGGCUGUGUGUCCGGCGAACCCCUUGAGAUCCGGUCAGUUUUCUAGGUUUCUUCAAAUUCCUUGGGAUCCGGUCGGCUUUCGUGUUCAUUUGUGUGGUUUCAGUUCAGGCUCUUCUGAUCUACAAUUCUCAUAUUUGGUUAUGGUUACUACUCCGGUACGCUGGUCUUCUGAGGCCUUAGCACGACGGCUUACUCACAUUCGACUUGUUUUAGUUCUUGUUGCCGUCGCUGGGUUAUCCAAUAAUCUAUUUGUAAUUUUUAUUAGUUUUAAAACUUUUUACUGCUGUUGAUAAUUUAUCAAUAAAUUGAUUGACCUUUUUGCGCAAAAAAAAAAUUUAGCUGCUGCUUCCGGCGUUGCUCCUCCUAGCCAACCGACCGCCGUCCACGAGCCAUGGACAAGGAGGCAAAUCGAUGAGCAAGCGAUGUGUUAUCAACGGUCAACCAGGCAUCAACUUCGGUACAAAUGUCCCUGUGACUGUGAGGUAUGUAAUCAAGGGAGGACCAAGUUAGGAUAAAUAAUCAACCAGAGUACCAGACAUCAGCUUCGGUACAGAUUUUCAAUUCCUUCGGUGGUGGAAUGGCCAUUCGAAUCCAGAUUAUCUACAACUGGAGCUAAAUUGGAAAAAGAAAAAGAAUUUUCUCUGCCUGGCAAAAUAAUUCCGUCGCCGGGACUUGAACCCGGGUCUCUCGGGUGAGAGCCGAGUAUCCUAACCACCUAGACUACGACGGAUUUGUGGUAACUAGUGCCAGAAAUUGUUACUCAAUAUCAAUCAGAACUCACAGUUUUAACCACAUUAUUAAACCAAACUGUACUGUCAAGAUUAUAAAAGUCGUGGAGCAGAAAAGGUAACAUGGCAUAGUACAUAAAUCGGUCGGCUAUGAUUUUUAUAUUUUCUCUAGUAUUUUUUAUCUACAAAUUCAUUACGACAACAUCAACAAGUAUUCUUAAAAAUACAUGCAAGGGGACUGAGUGCAGUGAGCAGUCCCUUUCCCCUGUUGAGGAUUAGUCCAAACGCAUGCCCUCAUUUUCUGGAUAAAUGAGCAAUAUAGCUAAGGACGGAUGCUGGACCUAUACGCCUCGGUAGCUUAGCCCUUGGUCUUGCUGGAGUAUAGGCAGCUGUACAUGGCUGUACACCAUGUCAAGAUUACAGGUGCUUUGACAUCAGAUACCUCUCCGUGUUUGCAAAAUGAUGAAAACAAUAGGCAUCAGCCACCAUGGGUGAAUCCAAAUCGUGAUAGGAACAUGCCAUUGCAUGGGAAGGACUGUGCUCCAGUUAUUUGUUGACAAUACUUAUUGAAGGUUCUCAUGGGAUGCUACGAUACGACGCAGCUACAUGACCGACCUGAAUUUUAUAUUUCUUGACUCAUGUCAAAUGCUCCAUGCCGUGGUUGGAAUGAUGGCAUCUUAAUCCGACGGAAUGAAGCGCAGCGAUCUUUCUUCAGGGGAUUCAGCUUACCAGAAAAUAGACUGCUUAUGAUCCAGCUUGCUGGCUGCAAGAAAGAGCAGAAGGGAGAAUUAGAAGCACUGAAAAUGAUAAAGUAGUAGUUUGGAGAAAGGAUAAAGUGUAGAGAACGGUAAAGACAGUGUGAAUCGGGUAAACUUGUUUUAUUGGCAGCAGAAAAGCAAGCGUUCGGAUGAUUGCAUUUUUAUAAAAGUAAAAACAUGACUGAAUAACUUAUAUUACUUAUAAAGCUAGGAUUAAAUAUGUUGUGGCAAAUAUCGAAUUCUCUCCACGAAUUACUUAUAAAGCUAGGAUUCAUGCAUUCAAACACAGUCUACACUAUCUGAGCAAACUUGCAUAUCUUAUAUCCGGGAUGGAAGUUCUACAUUCAAGAUUUGACUAACCACUGUUUUAAUGUCAUGUUCCAUUCCGCAAUGGCUUAGAUGACGUGAUGCACUCGCCUCAUUUGCAACAAGAAUGAUUCCAUGUGAAGAACUUCUGUCCUUCAAGCUUCGAAUUAAUCCUUCCAGAGAUACAAAGACUUGGCCACCUCCAUGCUGUGAAGCACAAAUAUCAUACAAGGGCCUCAUAGAGACAGGGAAACCAGCUAUGUACAUACUUGAACAAAAACUGGCACAAAAAUAAAUCCUUCUAGAUAGUUGAAAUAAAAUUAAACGUGAAGUAAGAGUAAGACAAUGGCUAUUACGUAUUGCAAUUCACCAAAUAAGCUAUGGGAGUAUUGCUUGAUUAGUAGGUCAUCCAUCAUGUUUUCUGACCAACCAGGUCUGCAACAUACCUUGAUAAUGUUGGAAAAUUUUGAACAGAAACUGAUUUUGCCAUGGAUCAAGAAUCCUACUCCACGAAAUACCAAUCUGUCAUUUCGGAGGUGAACUGACUGGCCAAAUGUUAAACUCUCCUUUACUGCAUGCCUUUGUCGAAUUAAAUACCUGGCAAAAGGGGCAUAUCAAAAGUUGAGUAUCAAGGGCAUAUUAUCUCAUCCUAUUUCAUAUGGACAACAGAACAAUAUUUUCUUGUUGAAUUUUUAGCUGCUGAAAAGAAAGCUAUGACAACCAGUCUUCACAGCAAAGUUCCUUGGCCAUGUUUGAGACCAGAAUCGAUUGGCUUGGCUUUAUUAGAAAACAACACCGUCUAGAUGAAUAAUAUAGUGACCUAAAAGCAUCUACGCUGAAUUUCCAUGCGUUAUAUAUGGAAUAUUCAGAAUCACCGUACGGGGAACUAACCUAAUUAAUAAUGUCAGUGCUAGAUAACCUUUCAAAAGAUUAGUUCUUAGGUCGCCUAUGAUGGUUGACAACUAGACAAGUUCAACUAACUGAGCACAUCAAAUAUGAAAUAACUUUCAUUUCUUAGUAUAGCUUGGCAUCAAAUUGAGAAAAAAAAUCAUGUGGGCUUUUUGAUUGAUCUAAAAGUGCAAAUAUACUUCAGAGUAUUUGGUAAUUUCCCUUGAUUACUCCAAGAAAAAUAUGGAAAGGAAAUCUGAAGCUUUCACAAACAAGCAUGAGAUAAAAUAAAGAGUUUCAUUUUAACAUGAUAGGUAACAUGCAUUGAGUACACAGAAACAUCUUGGCACGUGUAGUGGAUGCUAGUAUUGCCUUACUUUCCAGGUGGCAAAAGGACACCAGCUUCAAUAGAAUCGAAAAGCCAAUUGGGAUUCAAAAUCCAGGAAUCCGUAGCGCAACCAUAUAAAAACUUAGCCGUUGAUACCUGUUAGAACAACCAACUAUCAGACACAAGUUUGUUGCAAUUUGGUCCACAAAUGAAUAGAUAAUUUGAAAUAAGAGCUAUUCCCACUGUUUCUACAAUAUAUCGAUAGAUGGUAUCCAAAAAGAAAGAAAGGAACUGGAAUAACAAACCUUUUUAGAGGAAAGAACCACGGGAGGCUUCCACCUUGCAAACUCUGCCAGCUUGCUUCUUUUAUCAAAUGUACAGGGUGGCACUUUGGAAAGAAUACAACCUCCAAAUUUUCGAAUUGCAGAUUCAAUCUCUUUUUCCUUAUGACUUUGCAAUCCAGUCAACAGAAACUCUAGUCCAUGAAAUAUGGCUUCCUUUUUGUCAAUGUAUUCUCUGGGCUCCAGCAUGUCAGCAGUUCUGCUAUCUGACCCUGCAAAGAUGAGAAAGCAGAGUAAGAAUCACCGAACACACAUAAAUGAUUCUGAAGGUAAUACUCAAUACAAAGUACAUCUCUAACACACGAGAUCAUAAAGCAGAACUUACAGCUGAAUCGAGAUUUAAACCUUCUGCUCUUGGUUUGUCUAGUACUAAGUUUAGGAUUCAAUAAUUGGGCUCCUUUUCUUUUAAGGUCUCGUUUACCAACAUUUAAACAUGUUGAUUGAGGACAAACUUCUGAUGGUACAUAUUUCUCUCUGCUUUGAUGCUCAUCUUUAUCCUGAGCAUGAGAUGACUUCUUCUGAACCAAAGAAAAUUCUUUCGAGCUUCCAGCUUCAGCAUUGUUUUCUAUGAAUUGAUUAGAGGCUUGCACACGCUGUAUCUUCUUAUUUAAGGUUAUUGGUGUGCCCCUCUUCUUCUGACAAACUGCCGCGUCAAUAUCAUUAUGAGUCGUACUACCUCCCAAUAUGUCUGAUAUAGGUUCUGAAGUACUAAAAUGCCUGAGUGAACUGUAUAUUCUGCGUCUCCAUGGACCAGAUUCUGGUGUCUUAUCUAAAGGCACAUAAGAUGGAUCGGCUGAUUCUGGUGCCUUAUCUAAAGGUACAUAAGAUGGAUUGACUGAUUCUGGUGCCUUAUCUAAAGGCGAAGAAGAUGGAUCGGCUUCUAAAUCCAGAUCUUUCUUGAGAGAUUCCUUGGGAUAUAUUGUUUCUCCCUGAUCACCAUUCCUCUGUUUGCAUUCAGGAGCUUGACUAAGGGAAACUUCAUUGCAAGAUAUGCUACAUGGAACAAAUGAACAGAGAGGAUCCCCAAGUGAUAAGCUUGAGCAUACUACUUGGUAGCACGACUCUGCACUUUGAUUCUCUUCGUAGAAACCUUCAGUUUUGCGGGGAAAAGAUGCUCUUGAAGACGCAACCAUUUCUAUGGAUCUUGCUCUAGGUGCAGGGGAGCACUCAUUUGUGGUAUCCAUUGACUCAGAAAUGAAGCUAGUUCUAAUAUGCUUCCUUGUGCCACCACCAACAUUUGUCUCUUCAACAACUCUUCCACAUUCCUGGAAAUAAAUUUGACAUUGUUAUUACAUAGAUGAAGAGUACUCAAUGAGAUAAGUAUAGGAUUAAUAUGAUACCAAAAAAUUUAUUGGCGACAUAGUUACCUUAAUGAUACUUUGACCUCUUACUGGAGUCCCAAAGCUACCUAUAGCUGGUUGCUUUACAGAAUCACAUCCUGGAGUUGAUUCAUUCGGGAGGUUACCAGCUGAGUUAUUAUUAUUUGCCAAAGAAUCAGGUACAUGGUCAUAAGUAUUAGCAUCUUGGCUGUGCCAUUUUGUAUUUUGCUCCCAGGAAGAACAAAUGUCUGAGAUGCGCUCCUCCAUAUCACGUGGGGCACAACUAGGCUGUGAGAUGUGCCGUUUUAUAUCAAUUGUGUUGUAGCCUUGAGAUGAACAAGCUGUUUGAACAGUAGACAGGCCAACAUCUUCGAAUGCAUCAAGCAUCUCGACCUCAUCCAAUUCUGCAAGCCAAUCCCUCUCAUCUAGAUCAUUUUCAAAGGAUCCACAAUCAUGUUCUGUCUCCUCAAGACAAUACUGUUUCCGAGCUUCUUUUACAUGCAGAGCAGAUUCCAAGGCAGCUGCAGCCAACUUAUCAGGCUGGCAAUCAUUAAUGAUCAUUUCUGCAAUAAGAAUAGCCUCGGAGGCAGCAAUGGAUAGCUCAACUGCAUCGUUAGCAUCUACAUUACGGAGCUUCUGAACAUCAACCUUUCCACCAGAUAACUGAUGUCUUCUUGCACCAAGCGGUUUAAUGAUAUCCUUGCUAGGCACUCUACAAACUUCUAGUAGCUUAUCAUCCUUGAAGCCUUUAGCUUCCAAUUGAUAUUGGGGCACAGCCUUGAUCUCUUGUCCUUGACCAUCAACAUAAGAUCCCUCUAAUGAUCCACUGCAUGUACCGGAGUUUAUAAUCUGAGGGACAACAUUGGCUCUAGCUGAGGAGAGUUGUGCAGUACUUUCUGAUGAAAGGUGCAAAGAGAAAGGCCGUACCUGGAGGGAAAGCAUUAAAAAUGUAUGUUAUAACAGCACAAGACAAGAAGAUUUUGUCUCUGCAGCAAAGAAAGAGUUGAUAUUUUGGCUUUCACAAGCCAAUGUUUGCUAUUAUAGUAACGUGUUCGCUCACAAUGCAAUCCACCAAAGUGAUUGACAAUAAAAAAAAACAUAUGCACAAAGUAGCCAAUUAAACUCACAAGCACAAAUAGAAUGAAGAAGUACACAGCAGGCAAGAUGAGAAUGGCAUGCUGAACCUAUAAUUUUCUUCCUUCCACAUUCAAGGGAAGAUUAGACACGGAGUAAAGAAGUUAACUGGGUAAGUGUGCAUCCCUGGAACAAAAACUGUAUCUCGGGGAGAAGGACAAACCAAUAAAGCCAUAAUUGUUUUGGGUUGUAUUAUUGAAGGCUACAUGUACAUGUAGUACUCUUCUGAUUUAUUUGAUUGAAUUCAAAGAAUGACAAUAACCUAUGUCGUGGCUCAACUUCUGUGGUUAGCAUCAAGAAUCUAUGUGGCCCAAGCAAGGAACUUCAUCUCAUAAGCUUACCUCUCUGCCUGUUCGAAUACUUGCAGCAGGUGUAUCCUCAUCUCCUGACAAAUGCAAACGUAACCCGCUGUAACCACCAGCAUUUGCCAUGGCAUUGUGACAAUGCUGUUGCUCUUGCACAGGAUCCCCAAUAUACACACAGUUCUGCAGUUGUAUGAGGAAAACACAGGCAUCAGAUCAGAACACACAGCGCCCCGAGAUACAUAGCUAUAUAUGCAGAUGUAUUAAGAUCCAACUCAAUCGUGUGUCAUUCUCUACCAUGUACAUCGGCUUCGGCUAUUGUUUGUUUGCCUUAUUUAUGAGGUUCUAUAUGUAGGAGAGAAAAUAAACUACCGAACCAGGUUUCACCUGCUCCCAUCACAUGAAUAAUGAAAAUACAGUACUAAACAUGUUCUUACAAACAUUGGGAAAGGUUACCACCAAUCGAUGCACAAGUAAUAGCAGAAAAGCACCUCACAAGGUGGCGACGAAAUGCCGUCGCUGUCUCUUCGGUGUUCACCGACCGUCGGCUGCCGAUGCGGCUGAAGCCAUUGCGGGAGCCAAGUAUUAUCCUGAAGGACACAAAGGUAGGGGUUAGAAGAGGACGCAUCCCAGUGAUCCCACGCAGUUCACAUCUGGCGCCAAUCGCAUCUCCCUCCAUCCCCAGAGGGAGAGAGAGAGAGAGAGAGAGAUUACCUCGGAGAAGAGCGGCGAGUGGUAGCCGCAGGUCGACAUGGCGGCGGGGCAGUCGACGGCUGGGCGCCGCCACGAGAAGACGGGGAGGGGCGGCGCGAGGUCUUCUCGUUUUCUUUUUCUUUUUCUUUUUCUGAUUCGCGCCAGAAUCAAAGCAAAGACCUGGUCCUGUUGGCUGUUUCCGGGGGGGGGGAGGGGCAGAAAUCCAAUUCGGCUGUCUGACAAGUGGGGCCAGGCUGCCUCCACAGCGAAGCCGUGACGCCUUUUUACUGGGCUAGUUGCCAAUUCUUACUGAGAACGCAAUUUCCGAAUAUACUGACCGCACUAGUUCAACAAUUAUUAACCCCGUUUGGACGUACAUAUCGAAGCUUGGAACUCAGAAUUUAGAAUGGGAACUUGUGAAUUCUGCUGUUUAGAUGCCCAUAGAAUUGAGAAUGGGUUUUUGGUAUUGGCCUUCAACUAAAAGAACCUCAUCACAAUUCGGAGUCUCCCCCUCUUUGAAUUGGUUGGAAUUGGACUAUAGCUGCCCCUGUCACCACCGGCAACUACUAUGACGAGCUCCGGCGAACUCUCGCCAAAUUCAAUUCUAUGGACAUUGGAACAUAAAAAUUGGAAUCACUUGUUAUCUUCAACUGGCAAUAUCUUCUACAACCAAAGAACAUAACUUCUAUUAGAGCUCAUUUCAACACAAAUGCUCAUUUGGUAUUAGAGCCAAUUCAAUUCCAAGGCCUUGAAUAUCUAACACUAAACAAAGCCCAGGUAAUUUUCUACAUUUUUUUUAUUAUAAUGAUUCUUUUUUUGCAUAAGUUUUGAAUAUAGCAGGAACACCGUAUCCACUCGACGAGGACACGGGUUUGUCGAAACAUAUACUUAUUAGGUACAGAUUUCUCAGGAUCAUACAUGACACUCAACAGUAACAGAUUACGCCUUUCAAAUAAAAGCAACCGAUUUACAUGGCCAAUUAUUAGAAAAUUAAGGAGGGUAGUUCAAUCUUAUACACAGUAUCAUGCUUGGACCUGAGCUCUGACGAUAAAAAAGAAGAAGAAAGAAAACCUAUAGCAAAAUUGGUCAUAAGAGCCAGAAUGUCCCAAAGUUUCAGGAAAGAAUGAACACAGCUACACAGGUUACUGACUGCACGAUCACUCGGAUCAGACGAUACAAACAACAGAUGGGUGUCAAUGCUCCGAAAAUCGCUAACUCUUCAAAUCCGCGAGCGCAGUCUUGGUGGCAGCGGAAAUCACGGCGUCCGAAGCAUUUGGCAGGUAAUAAUAUUUCCCUGCAAAGCAUGGAGAAGAAGUUCAGUUCAUGGAGGUAUUGCAGGAAGUUAGUUUACAGUACAUUGGUGCUAACUGCUAAGUGAUGUAGAUAUUUCUCUCUUUAAGGUGAUGAAAAGGUUAGUUACUUCCCCUCGGAGUCAACUCAUGUUACCAUGAGAGUUUGUACAAAAGUCCAAACAAGAACGGACAUGGUUUCCUAAAGCGUUAGAUGGAGUGGCGUAACUAUUUCUGGUAAUACGAGAGAUUUCAUGUUGCGAAUACCUUGGGCAACCCUUGCAAUUUCCUUGGCGAAUCCCGUAGAUACAAACUUGUUCUCAGUAUCAAUGACAAGAAGUGACAUUCCUGCCUUGUAUAUUUUGGCAGACACCUCAAGAAUCUCAUCCUUGCAAGAGGAAGCGAAUUUAUCGUUUGAGCGCAGCAGGAAGUUUCAAAAUGACGCACAGGCUUCAAAAAUAGAUACUUUUCACAUCAUUACACUGUUCGAUGUUAGGAUACGAUUUGUACCUUUAAUUCUUGAGUAGAAGGUCUUGGUGCAUCUGAAGCAGCAGCAGCUUCUGGAUCAUUGGAUUUCUUCAGUGAUACAUUAGCUCUUCCAUCGGUAAUUGCAACGAUCAUAAUACGUCCAACAUCGCCACUCUUCUCAGCAUUCAACCCCACUCUGACAGCCUUGAAAUAGAAACCACAAUGUUAUCCAGAUUAUAGAUACCCAGGCCCUAUAGAAAACUUCAACACUAUGCAAAUCUUGGUUCUUACUGUACUGAGGCCAUGAGCUAAAGGAGAACCACCACCACAUGGUAGCUUUUCAAGACGUUUGCGUGCCAUUGCUA